ensembl:lncRNA
UUCGAAACAUCUGCGCUUCGGGAUCUCGCAAAGCUUCGGAACGUCUGUUUCGCGUCAGCCAUCCCUAGAAAAUAUACAAUAUAAUCAUAUAACGUGUAACAGUUAGUUUGAUCUGUUUCUUUGACAGCACAAUGCGACUGUAUUCGUGUCCAUCAUAAAACGUUAUACACUAUAAGCAUGCAUUAUGUAGUUUCAAAACGAAUAAUGUGUUUUAAAAAUGACUGAAUCUAAUAGUUGCCAUAUUCUGCAAUUUAGAGAGAAGAGCAACGCCUCUGUGAUGCACAAGCCUUUGAUACCCUGGUAGGUUUUACAUUUCUGGAAGUAUAGCAUAAUACAAUUCAGUGCACUCAUACAGUGUUAGGUUCCUCUGGGGAGUACCAGUCAGCUUUAUCAUAGAUUUAUUCCAACAGAUGCUACAGAUUUCAAGAAUUGGAGGAAAGAACUCCAAGGACUGUGUCCACAAAUUCCUUAACAGGCAUGUUUCUACAUACAGUUUGGAUUGUGUGUGUGAUGUUAUGGUGGAUUUCAAUGCCUGAACAUUUUUUUUUUUUUCUGGGUGUGGACCAGACUGCAUGUGUUAAUUUGUCUUUUUCUUGCUUAACCCUUAUGUACCUCUUGGUACAUUUAUUUAUUUAUUUUAUUUUUUUUGCAUUUUUCAAUUAAGAAUACUCAAUUACAAGAUCACAACAACACAAUGCAUUGUGAGUUUAUAGACAAGCAGUUCUUGACAAGGAGAUUUGUUGUAGAGGGAUAAAAGGAGGGGAGUUAGUAUAAAGGGUUUAUGAAAUGUGUAAUGUUAUAUCUACAUGUAUCAUUUACACUGAUUUAUAAAUAUAAUUUAUUUUUCUUUAGGCUCUUCAUUUAUGCCCUGAUGGCACAAUUCAAUAUGAAGGGGAAGGGGAAAAAGGGCAAGAACUCUUUGGAGAAGACACAGGUUUAUAGAGCAAUAAAAGGUGCAGUCAUGAAAUUUGAUGACAUAGCCACAGAGGACUUCAUAAGGAUGACCGCUUCAGAGCAUCUGAAGCAUGCACCGCAAAGAAGUGGAGGUGGAGGAGACACAGGGGUCACUCAGGACUGAUUAUCCAUUGGAGAAUGUUUUGUACAUUGUCUUUCCUGUUUUAGUAUAGUUGCUUAUGGUUUAAUUUUACCACAAAACACAUUUGGUUACGCACUUUAAUUUUUAUUGUUGUACAUUUGUUGUUGUGGUGGGCUGUGUAACUUUAAUUUUUUUAUUUUUUGUAUUUUACCACCAGUGUUUUUAGGUUACAUAUGUUUUUAGGUUACGAUGCACAACAUUGAAGUGAUAUAUGCAAGCCAUAAAUUCAUGUUCCUAGAUUUUAAUGGUAGUUGGCAGGAAAUUUAACUAGUCAAAGCUUAUAAGUGAAGUUUGUGCAAGUUAAAAACAAUAAAGAUGGAAAUAAGUGAAUGGUGAUUGAGUUG